rnacentral:rRNA from 1 species
AUUGAACGCUGGCGGCAGGCCUAACACAUGCAAGUCGAGCGGAUGAAGGGAGCUUGCUCCUGGAUUCAGCGGCGGACGGGUGAGUAAUGCCUAGGAAUCUGCCUGGUAGUGGGGGAUAACGUCCGGAAACGGGCGCUAAUACCGCAUACGUCCUGAGGGAGAAAGUGGGGGAUCUUCGGACCUCACGCUAUCAGAUGAGCCUAGGUCGGAUUAGCUAGUUGGGGGGGAAAGGCCUACCAAGGCGACGAUCCGUAACUGGUCUGAGAGGAUGAUCAGUCACACUGGAACUGAGACACGGUCCAGACUCCUACGGGAGGCAGCAGUGGGGAAUAUUGGACAAUGGGCGAAAGCCUGAUCCAGCCAUGCCGCGUGUGUGAAGAAGGUCUUCGGAUUGUAAAGCACUUUAAGUUGGGAGGAAGGGCAGUAAGUUAAUACCUUGCUGUUUUGACGUUACCAACAGAAUAAGCACCGGCUAACUUCGUG